rnacentral:misc_RNA from 1 species
UAAGCAACUGUGCGGUUGUGAACGAA